AAAUAAGAAAUAAAAAAAUUAUAUUUAGUUUCGACCUAAGCCCUUGAUGAAUAUCAUCCUUAUUUU
rnacentral:tRNA from 1 species